rnacentral:tRNA from 1 species
GUGGAUGUAGCUCAGUUGGGAGAGCGCCGGACAUAAUCCGGAGGUCGGGGGUUCGAGUCCCUUCAUUCGCACCA